rnacentral:tRNA from 1 species
CGGGACGUAGGAUAGGGGCUAAUCCGUCUGGUUCGGGACCAGAAGAUCGGCGGUUCAAAUCCGCCCGUCCCGA